rnacentral:misc_RNA from 1 species
AAGUCGUAACAAGGUAUCCGUAGGUGAACCUGCGGAAGGAUCAUUAACACGUAUCCACGUACCAACCAACCGUGCUUGAACAGAAAACUUCACCUACUCCACUCAAAUCUCGGUUUGAGCAAGUAGGAACACACAUGCAAAUGCAAAGACAGCGCAGAGGGGAGGAAAGGAAACUGAAAUCUUCUCUGAGCCGACUUGUGUUUGUGUGUGCUAUUCACUUUUUCCCCCCUGAUAUCAUACCGGUUGUUGCUGGUUGAGCUCACUUGUUGAGUUCGACUGUGAAAUAUUUUAUUUCAACUGCUUACAACUCUUAGCAAUGGAUAUCUUGGUUCUC